rnacentral:rRNA from 1 species
CAGUCGCCGCGGGAAUACGAAGGGGGCUAGCGUUGUUCGGAAUUACUGGGCGUAAAGCGCACGUAGGCGGAUAUUUAAGUCAGGGGUGAAAUCCCAGAGCUCAACUCUGGAACUGCCUUUGAUACUGGGUAUCUUGAGUAUGGAAGAGGUGAGUGGAAUUCCGAGUGUAGAGGUGAAAUUCGUAGAUAUUCGGAGGAACACCAGUGGCGAAGGCGGCUCACUGGCCCAUUACUGACGCUGAGGUGCGAAAGCGUGGGGAGCAAACAGGAUUAGAGACCCCGGUAGUCCCUGUCUCUUAUAC